rnacentral:rRNA from 1 species
AUGAACGCUAGCGACAGGCCUAACACAUGCAAGUCGAGGGGCAGCACAAGGAGCAAUCUGAGGUGGCGACCGGCGCACGGGUGAGUAACACGUAUGCAACCUGCCUGUAAGCGGGGAAUAACCCGUUGAAAGACGGACUAAUACCGCAUAAUACUAAAUUACUGCAUGGUAAUUUAUUUAAACAUUUAUGGCUUACAGAUGGGCAUGCGCAUGAUUAGCUAGUUGGAGAGGUAACGGCUCCCCAAGGCAACGAUCAUUAGGGGUUCUGAGAGGAAGGUCCCCCCACACUGGUACUGAGACACGGACCAGACUCCUACGGGAGGCAGCAGUGAGGAAUAUUGGUCAAUGGACGAGAGUCUGAACCAGCCAAGUCGCGUGCAGGAAGAAUGUUCCCUAUGGAUUGUAAACUGCUUUUGCAGGGGAAUAAAGUGCAUCACGUGUGAUGUUUUGUAUGUACUCUGCGAAUAAGGAUCGGCUAACUCCGUGCCAGCCGCCGC